UACGUAGGGGUGCAAGCGUUAAUCGGAAUUACUGGGCGUAAAGCGUGCGCAGGCGGUGAUGUAAGACAGGUGUGAAAUCCCCGGGCUUAACCUGGGAACUGCAUUUGUGACUGUAGAGCUGGAGUGCGGCAGAGGGGGAUGGAAUUCCGGCGUGUAGCAGUGAAAUGCGUAGAGAUGUGGAGGAACACCGAUGGCGAAGGCAGCCCCCUGGGUCAAGAUUGACGCUCAUGCACGAAAGCGUGGGGAGC
rnacentral:rRNA from 1 species